UUCGCUUCACUUCACAUGCUCCGUCGAUCAUUUUCCCCAAAUUCAAUCGCUUUCUUUUCUUCAUCCUUCCCGAAUGUUCCACCAUUGCCGAUUCCCCUCAAUUACGAGACUCUUCGACUCUCUUCGACUCGAUCUGGUUUCCUUGCUGCUUUUGUCCCUGGAUCAACCUCAACCGUUUUACGACUGAAAUCAUCUCUCACGCGUUAGGGGGUUUGCGAGACUGUGUUAAACCCUAGCUCGGAGGAAAAAAAGCUAUUUGUUCUCAGGGUCUCCUCUGAAGCGGGAACUGUGUUUAUAAUGGAAGAGAAUGAAGGGAUUCUUAGAUUUUUGAACAAUAAAAGUGUCAAAUGGAAAGAGUACGUUGCAGGUGUCAUCUAAGAAUUGGAUCAACGAUUUACCAGAGUGAAGUCACUCAUCAGUGACCCUAUUGAGACAGGUGCAUCUCCUCAAAUGUGUGGUAUGAACAAGCCGUUUCUUUGAUUGAAAGCAUGCCUGCAUGUGUUCAAUCACGUUGGGCUAACCUUUUUCCAAAAGUAGAGGGGAAGCACUUCUGAUGUCAUCUAGACUUCCAGGUGAGUGUACUGAAGGACCAAAAGUGAGAACCUGGAUAAGGAAAGACACAAGGACUUGAGAGCACCACUAACUAGGAGCCAGAUUAAUCCGGUUUCAGAGUGUGACUCGAGGCACCAUUGUCUCUUGCAAAAGCAGUUGAUGCCAUGCGAUAUCAUUCUGCUUCCGGGGACUAACCAUUAACUUAGGGGGCUGCGCCGGCAGUAGCAUGCAUGCAGACAGGGUUGGCAAAGGUUCACCUUGCUGAUGAAGAAAUAAUCCUCUACCGUGUGAUAUUCGGUUACAACCAUUUCAGGAGGAGGAAUUUGCUUAGCUGCUUUGAGCUUCUCAUCUCUUGUCUAUGCCAGCAGAUAGGUGCAGUGGAGUUGGCAAAUUUGUCCAUGCAGAAUGCACUAGACUAGCAAUAGUUGGUGAGACGAGCAGAGACUCAUGCCAUGCUAUAAAGGGCUGAGUCGGCUGACCGACCGAGUUUAUGUAAAUCCGUUGAGAUGUAGGUUAAAGAGUAAUUAUUUGCUUAAAUACUCACAUAAUAAAUUCUCAAUUGACAUAUGAUGUAGCUACUCAACGACAAUUGAUUGAAAGUUUAAUAUAUUUUAAGAUUUAUAUUAAACUCUUGAUCAAUUAUUGUUGUGUAGCUACAUCAUAUGCUAAUUGAGAAUUUAAAUCUAUCUACUAAUGUUUUAGUAGUAUUUAGUUGAUCCAGAAGCUUAUGCUAAGAAUUAGUUGCCUUCUUGCAUGUCCUUUUAAGAGCUUCUUCAUGCUUUAUUGUUGUUCCAUGUGUAGACCUUGAAGUUUCUGCAAUAGGUUUUGAAUCAUAACCUAAGCCUUUGAC